AUUGAACGCUGGCGGCAGGCCUAACACAUGCAAGUCGAACGGUAACAGGAAGAAGCUUGCUUCUUUGCUGACGAGUGGCGGACGGGUGAGUAAUGUCUGGGAAACAGCCUGAUGGAGGGGGAUAACUACUGGAAACGGUAGCUAAUACCGCAUAACGUCGCAAGACCAAAGAGGGGGACCUUCGGGCCUCUUGCCAUCGGAUGUGCCCAGAUGGGAUUAGCUAGUAGGUGGGGUAACGGCUCACCUAGGCGACGAUCCCUAGCUGGUCUGAGAGGAUGACCAGCCACACUGGAACUGAGACACGGUCCAGACUCCUACGGGAGGCAGCAGUGGGGAAUAUUGCACAAUGGGCGCAAGCCUGAUGCAGCCAUGCCGCGUGUAUGAAGAAGGCCUGCGGGUUGUAAAGUACUUUCAGCGGGGAGGAAGGGAGUAAAGUUAAUACCUUUGCUCAUUGACGUUACCCGCAGAAGAAGCACCGGCUAACUCCGU
rnacentral:rRNA from 1 species